rnacentral:lncRNA from 1 species
AUGAAAAGAAGUUUAUUUUUAUUGAGCAGCUUCCUGUGGUUUUCUCGCCAUGCUCUAAGGGCUUUGGAGAAAUUCGUCAUGUUGCUGGCAGUGCAGAAUCUGCUUUGUGGAGAAGUCGGGUUUUGGAGAUGGGAUUUUCAGCCAAACAGCUUUUUUAUGUCUGGAAAUGGAUUGCCAGAACUUUUCUGCAGACCUUAUACCCUGACUGAGCAGUCCAGUACCUCCCCAGAGCAUGCAAACUGGCAUCUGCUGGCAACUUCACUGCUCUCCUGUCAAACCACAAACAGGGAUUAAUUUAAGCCAUGAAAUACUGUUGCUAGACUGAGUGGUGGAACUGAGGACAUCCUUCAUCAGGCAGUCUGCAGAUUAAAU